rnacentral:rRNA from 1 species
UACGUAGGUGGCAAGCGUUGUCCGGAAUUAUUGGGCGUAAAGCGCGCGCAGGUGGUUUCUUAAGUCUGAUGUGAAAACCCGCGGCUCAACCGUGUGGUCUGCAGUCGAUACGGGCAGGCUAGAGUUCGGUAGGGGAGACUGGAAUUCCUGGUGUAGAGGUGAAAUUCGUAGAUAUUCGCAAGAACACCAGUGGCGAAGGCGGCUUACUGGUCCGGUUCUGACGCUGAGGCGCGAAAGCGUGGGGAGCAAACAGG